rnacentral:rRNA from 1 species
UACGGGGGGAGCAAGCGUUGUCCGGAUUUAUUGGGCGUAAAGAGCGUGUAGGCGGCCAAGCAGGUCCGCUGUGAAAACUCGAGGCUCAACCUCGAGCUGUCGAUGGAAACCAUCUGGCUAGAGUCCGGAAGAGGAGAGUGGAAUUCCCGGUGUAGCGGUGAAAUGCGCAGAUAUCAGGAGGAACACCAAUGGCGAAGGCAGCUCGCUGGGACGUGACUGACGCUGAGACGCGAAAGCGUGGGGAGCAAACAGG